rnacentral:ncRNA from 1 species
AUAAGCGCCAGAACUUAGUUACUAGCGACAACGAAUUGAUAUUAUAAAAACUAAGUUGACGAGGUCAGAGUUUAUCGAAUUGUCGGCGGAUGCUCUGCGGUGAGUUCACCAUCGAAAGAACUUUCUUAAAAUAUAGGAGUAAUUCUAUACACAAAGGGAAGCUUA